rnacentral:rRNA from 1 species
AUUGAACGCUGGUGGCAUGCUUAACACAUGCAAGUCGGACGGUAACAGGCGAGUGCUUGCACUUGCGCUGACGAGUGGCGGACGGGUGAGUAAUGCAUAGGAAUCUGUCCUUUCGAGGGGGAUAGCUCUGGGAAACUAGAGGUAAUACCGCGUACAACCUACGGGUUAAAGGUGGCGCAAGCUGUCGCGAAAGGGUGAGCCUAUGUUAGAUUAGCUAGAUGGUGAGGUAAAAGCUCACCAUGGCUACGAUCUAUAGCUGUUCUGAGAGGAAGAUCAGCCACAUUGGGACUGAGACACGGCCCAGACUCCUACGGGAGGCAGCAGUGGGGAAUAUUGGACAAUGGGCGAAAGCCUGAUCCAGCAAUGCCACGUGUGUGAAGAAGGCCUGAGGGUUGUAAAGCACUUUUACAAGUGAGGAAGUUUAUUGGGUGAAUAGCCCAGUAAAUUGACGUUAGCUUGAGAAUAAGCACCGGCAAACUCCG